rnacentral:rRNA from 1 species
AUGAACGCUAGCGACAGGCUUAACACAUGCAAGUCGAGGGGCAGCGGGGGUAGCGAUACCCGCCGGCGACCGGCGCACGGGUGAGUAACGCGUAUGCAACUUGCCUAUCAGAGGGGGAUAACCCGGCGAAAGUCGGACUAAUACCGCAUGAAGCAGGGGCCCCGCAUGGGGAUAUUUGCUAAAGAUUCAUCGCUGAUAGAUAGGCAUGCGUUCCAUUAGGCAGUUGGCGGGGUAACGGCCCACCAAACCGACGAUGGAUAGGGGUUCUGAGAGGAAGGUCCCCCACAUUGGUACUGAGACACGGACCAAACUCCUACGGGAGGCAGCAGUGAGGAAUAUUGGUCAAUGGCCGAGAGGCUGAACCAGCCAAGUCGCGUGAGGGAUGAAGGUUCUAUGGAUCGUAAACCUCUUUUAUAAGGGAAUAAAGUGCGGGACGUGUCCCGUUUUGUAUGUACCUUAUGAAUAAGGAUCGGCUAACUCCGUGCCAGCAGCCGCGGUAAUACGGAGGAUGCGAGCGUUAUCCGGAUUUAUUGGGUUUAAAGGGUGCGUAGGCGGCCUUUUAAGUCAGCGGUGAAAGUCUGUGGCUCAACCAUAGAAUUGCCGUUGAAACUGGGGGGCAUGAGUAUGUUUGAGGCAGGCGGAAUGCGUGGUGUAGCGGUGAAAUGCAUAGAUAUCACGCAGAACCCCGAUUGCGAAGGCAGCCUGCCAAGCCAUUACUGACGCUGAUGCACGAAAGCGUGGGGAUCAAACAGGAUUAGAUACCCUGGUAGUCCACGCAGUAAACGAUGAUCACUAGCUGUUUGCGAUACACUGUAAGCGGCACAGCGAAAGCGUUAAGUGAUCCACCUGGGGAGUACGCCGGCAACGGUGAAACUCAAAGGAAUUGACGGGGGCCCGCACAAGCGGAGGAACAUGUGGUUUAAUUCGAUGAUACGCGAGGAACCUUACCCGGGUUUGAACGCAUUCGGACCGAGGUGGAAACACCUUUUCUAGCAAUAGCCGUUUGCGAGGUGCUGCAUGGUUGUCGUCAGCUCGUGCCGUGAGGUGUCGGCUUAAGUGCCAUAACGAGCGCAACCCUUGCCACUAGUUACUAACAGGUAAAGCUGAGGACUCUGGUGGGACUGCCAGCGUAAGCUGCGAGGAAGGCGGGGAUGACGUCAAAUCAGCACGGCCCUUACAUCCGGGGCGACACACGUGUUACAAUGGCGUGGACAAAGGGAGGCCACCUGGCGACAGGGAGCGAAUCCCCAAACCACGUCUCAGUUCGGAUCGGAGUCUGCAACCCGACUCCGUGAAGCUGGAUUCGCUAGUAAUCGCGCAUCAGCCAUGGCGCGGUGAAUACGUUCCCGGGCCUUGUACACACCGCCCGUCAAGCCAUGGGAGCCGGGGGUACCUGAAGUCCGUAACCGCGAGGAUCGGCCUAGGGUAAAACUGGUGACUGGGGCU